UACGUAGGGGGCUAGCGUUAUCCGGAAUUACUGGGCGUAAAGGGUGCGUAGGUGGUGCUCUAAGUUCGGUGUGAAAUCUCCUGGCUCAACUGGGAGGGUGCGCCGGAAACUGGAGUGCUUGAGCGUGGGAGAGGAAAGCGGAAUUCCUGGUGUAGUGGUGAAAUGCGUAGAUAUCAGGAGGAACACCUGUGGUGUAGACGGCUUUCUGGACCAUAGCUGACGCUGAGACACGAAAGCGUGGGUAGCAAACAGG
rnacentral:rRNA from 1 species